rnacentral:rRNA from 1 species
UACGUAGGGUGCAGGCGUUAAUCGGAAUUACUGGGCGUAAAGCGUGCGCAGGCGGUUUGCUAAGACAGGUGUGAAAUCCCCGGGCUUAACCUGGGAACUGCGCUUGUUACUGGCAGGCUUGAGUGUGGCAGAGGGGGGUGGAAUUCCACGUGUAGCAGUGAAAUGCGUAGAGAUGUGGAGGAAUACCGAUGGCGAAGGCAGCCUCCUGGGCCAACACUGACGCUCAUGCACGAAAGCGUGGGGAGCAAACAGG